GAUGAACGCUGGCGGCGUGCCUAAUACAUGCAAGUCGAGCGAACGGACGAGAAGCUUGCUUUUCUGAUGUUAGCGGCGGACGGGUGAGUAACACGUGGAUAACCUACCUAUAAGACUGGGAUAACUUCGGGAAACCGGAGCUAAUACCGUAUAAUAUUUUGAACCGCAUGGUUCAUAAGUGAAAGACGGUCUUGCUGUCACUUAUAGAUGGAUCCGCGCUGCAUUAGCUAGUUGGUAAGGUAACGGCUUACCAAGGCAACGAUGCAUAGCCGACCUGAGAGGGUGAUCGGCCACACUGGAACUGAGACACGGUCCAGACUCCUACGGGAGGCAGCAGUAGGGAAUCUUCCGCAAUGGGCGAAAGCCUGACGGAGCAACGCCGCGUGAGUGAUGAAGGUCUUCGGAUCGUAAAACUCUGUUAUUAGGGAAGAACAUAUGUGUAAGUAACUGUGCACAUCUUGACGGUACCUAAUCAGAAAGCCACGGCUAACUACGUG
rnacentral:rRNA from 1 species